UACGUAGGGUGCGAGCGUUGUCCGGAAUUACUGGGCGUAAAGAGCUCGUAGGUGGUUUGUCGCGUUGUUCGUGAAAACUCACAGCUUAACUGUGGGCGUGCGGGCGAUACGGGCAGACGUGGAGUACUGCGAGGGGAGACUGGGAAGUUCCUGGUGUAGCGGUGGAAUGACGCAGAGUAUCAGGAGGAACACCGGUGGCGAAGGCGGGUCUCUGGGCAGUAACUGACGCUGGAGGAGCGAAAGCCGUGGGGAGCGAACAGG
rnacentral:rRNA from 1 species